ensembl:lncRNA
GCCUUUGUUCCAUCUUGCAAAAUAUAUUAUAAAAAUGUUUUCUAUUUUUUUAAGAUUUAAGAAUCAUUUUGUCUUAAAUUGUGAAUGAUUUUAAAUGAGCUAUUUAGGUACUUAACCUUUUUCUGAAGAACUUUCAAGAUAAUUUAGAAAUUUUCCCCUCUUCGAAAAGGCUUCCCUUGUCCUGUGAUGAAUACUAUAAGUCAGCUACAAUUGUUUGCCACAUGAAACCUGUAGGUCUUUUUCAAUUACUUGUCUAUAGUCCAAAUUGAGCUUUGGCUCAGACUUAAGGCCAGGACCAGUUCAUGCAUUCUUCCUCUUCUUUUUCUUGCUCUUUUCUCAUCCUUGCUCACCCCACUCUUCUUACAGUUGUUUGGGAUAGAAAAAUCGUAAAGAGCCAGCCCACCUCGGAAGAUGGCAGGUCGCGAGAGACACUACAGGACACUAAGUAGACGAGGGAAGGAUGGAGCUCUCUAGUCCAAAAAGCAAAGAGAGCCCAGUUCUCGCUACAUGACAUAUUGAGAUGUUCUUUUAAAACUCCACUUUUAAGAUAGUGAUGUUCUGUUCUAAGCUGUUCUGUUUUAGUAAAGAUAGAUUUUAGAAAACAAGCGUGGGGAUUCUUUUCGAAGGUAAUAAUGAGAAGAAGAGAAAAGGUGAUUAUCUUUAAAGAGGUCUUUGUUGAAGCCUGUGGUAGCACAUUAUGUUCAUGAUUGCACAUGUGCACGUAAUCUAUUAUGAUCCAAUGCAAAUACAGCUCCAAAAAUAUUAAAUGUAUAUAUAUUUUUAAAUGCCUGAGGAAAUAUGGUUUUCUUAAUAAAUUGAAGAAUAUCAAUACUGCUAUUAAAAUAAUUAUUAGCCUCCUGCUGUGUGGUUGCAAAACAUCACAGAGUGACCUGUCCCGGAACUGCCAACUGCCUGCCUAUUUAGCCAAUGAAAAUGAACACAUUUCUAUAUGGGGGAGCAUCUGCUGUCCAGCGUUGGGAAUGCGAAGUGAGGAAGCUGGUGGUUACACUACCUCUGGGCUGUAUGAGAGUCUUGGCUAAAGUUGAGAUGUGUUCACAACUACCUGUCUUUGGGUUGGAGGUCAUGGGGAAAAAAAGCCCUAAAAAACAACAAACAACUCAAGGCAUCUUUGGUAAGCAAGACAAAGGAGAAAACUUGAGGAAUCAAAAUGCAACCUGAGUAUGAAACUCAAUGUACUGACCAAAGGUAGGUGCAGUUAGGUGGAAGCUAUUAGCAGACAGCUGAUCGUAACUGAGAAGAGGACAGAAAGACAGGCGUCUGCUCUUGGAGUGUUAUUUUUUCCAAAGAAAGACUUGGCAGAGGACAGAGGCAUGGCAUUUUUGCAUUGCACUUCCCAUUGGCUGUCCAUUUCCAGGACAGAGUGAAUUCGCCUGUUCUUAAUAGCAGGGCAGUUGUUCAGACAUCACCUCCAGUUAUUUGCAGUAAUUAGAACUUUGGAAGAUACCAGGGCAGAAGUGUUUCAAGUCAGGGAUGAAGAAGAUGUGAAACAGAAGCGUAAUCCACAUGUGGGAACUGGAUAAUGUAUGUUCCCGUGUUGUUCUCUUGAAAAGAAAGGGAGAGCUGUAAGCUUACUCUGGCCUACACCAGAAGAAGGUGAGAGUAACUUUACCAUGGACACAGUGCUUCGCCUUCGUUAGAGAAAAGGGUCCCAAAGGGUCCCUAAAUCCCCAACCUGAAUCCUGGUUUUACCCCUGGUUAUUUCUUCGAUACCUGAACUGCAGCAAAUCACUUUUUCUUUUUGUGCCUCAGGUUCCUCAACUAUAAAGUGGAAAAUAUAUUAAUAAUAUUAAUAUUAAUAUUAAUAAUAAUGGUAAUGUAGUACUUGUUUGUAAAGCACUUUGAGAGCCUUGGUUGAAAGGCACCAUAGGAGUGUCAAGUAUUAUGUGGCCAAGGGGAUUAUUUAAAUUUAGUUCCCAAGGGCCAAGAAAGGUUGGGGUCAUUUUUGUUAAAGAUGAGCUGUAAAUAUUAUAACUAGACAGCCUAUAGUGUUGACUAUUAAAAAGCAAAACUGUUACAAGGCUGAUAAAACCAUGGUUUAUUAAUGGCUACCAACAAGGCAAAUAUCACAAUAACAAAUACCAAAUUCCUUAGGAUGUACUAUUUGACAACAACAUUGAUAAUCUGGGGGGAGGGACAGGGGUGGGAAACAUCUCAAAAUGCCAAUGUAAAAUUAACUUACAGCAAUAUUCACCAGCAGAAAAUGUCUUUCAUAUGGAAUGAUUUCAUGUUGCUAAGAAAAAGAAUUCAAUUUGUAG